rnacentral:lncRNA from 1 species
AUGUCUGGCGCCCUGUCGCGACAGUACAACUGCGGCGCUCCUUCCUCGCCGGGGGCCCUUCCUCGCCCAGCACCGGGAGCUGCCGCCCGCCGGUUCCCAGCCCCGGCCGCUCCGUGCCGACGGGGGGGGUCUUGGCAGCGACCCCUGGCCGCCUGCUGGGCUGGGCCGGGCCGGGCGGGCCCGCCCCCGGGCUAUUUAGUGCUCGGCACGGCCAGCCGCGCUCCGCCACCGGCGGGGCUGCACGGCUCGGCACGGCUCGGCUCGGGACGGGACAGCUCAGCUCGGGACGGGACGGGAGCGGGCUGCCAGCGCCCUCGAGCGGCACUGGGGUCGAGGAGGGGCAGCCAAGCCCUUGGGCACGAGCCGAGCUCUUCCUCCGGGCGCCGGGCAGGGCUGCUGCCAGCUCCGUGCCGGUGGGGCGGGACGGGGCGCGCAGCCCUCGCCCUGCCCAGCCGAGGAACGCGGACACCGGCUCCGAGAGCUGGGAGAAGAGAGGCAGCAGCGGGAGCGGCCGGGACCGGGUCUGCUUGCUAUCCUCAGAAUAUCUCUAUCCAAGUUAGAGGAAAAAGGAUAAAUCUGACGUCACAGACCAGACCACAGGCAAGAGAUGACUCAACCAGGAAGAGGAGGAGAAAUGGAAUAGUUACAACACUGGACCAGUCCAGCUCUUCAGAAGUGAAGUUGAAGAGGUAGAUCAGACAGGUCACUACAACCAAAAAGAAGUCUAAAGGGAAUUUCGUGCAUCUUGUAAACUCAACUACCAUUUUGUGCAGGUAUUUGAAAAAUACUAAACUGAGAACACCAUUGACUGCUGUAGCAAAGGAGGCUUUUUGUUCCAACAGGAAUCACUUGUAAGAAACUGAGAUUCAAAACCAUGAUAUAUGUUUUUAAACACUAAGAGGUGUAAGCCACUGGAGUAACUUAACAACAGUUGUAAUCAAUUAGUCAUCCUGCAAAGGCUUUAACAUUAAUAAGAACCAGACAUCUAAUAUGCGUAGAUGCAACAUGGACCAAGUGUAUCUACAAAACUCUAGGCCAUCUCAUGUAAUCACAACCAGAUAUUCUAAACUAGAGAAUUGCCAAAAAUGGAUUGAACAUGAAUCACUGCACUGCUUACUUCCUGCAAAAUACGGGGAGAAAAAGGUAAAAACACAGAACAAAAAGAGAUGAAACUACAGUGAUUUCAAGGUAACUCUUUGUAAUUGCCAGAGAAAGCAUAUAUAUACUGAGUAUGCAUAUAGGAUGACUUUACCUCAGAAAGCUUUAUCUAAUAGAGAAAUAAAAAAGUCUUUGAAAAGAAAGUUUAUCA